GGCCGACGGAUUUGCUUGUGAUACAGAAAAAAAAACAAAAAACGAACUUGAACUUGGGUGAUCUCUUUCCUAGUUGCUAAUUACUUGCCAAAUUUUUUGUUUUUUUUUUGUUUUUUUUGUUGUUUUUUGAUGUUCUAAUUGUUAACUUUAUUUUUGCAGCUUGUUGAUUGAGUUGGCUACCAUUAAUGAGCUGGAGAUGGCACUAGCGACAGCGACAGACACGAGACGAGACUGGCGAGAGAGAGGGAGAGAGAGAGAGAGAGAGAGACCGAGUGUGCGAGCGAGAGGGGGCAGAGCGCGAACUGAGCAAAACACAAAGAAUUUGUUCUGGCACGAAAUGUUUGUCCAAUCCUCUGAUGUUGCUUAUUUGUUUUUAUUUUGUGACCUUUUUUUGUGGUGGAUUUUUGACUUUGUUUGCGGUUUGUUUCCUUUUCUUUUUAACCAGAGUCUGUGAUGAUUCGAUUUCGAUUGAAGUUCGAGUGGAGUUGCAUUGAGUGGAGCGGAGGAGUUGAGUUGAGUUGAACUGAGUGGAUGGCUGUUGAAGCUGCUGCGAGAUCCGUGCGGCACGUGCGAACACGUUCAGAUUUC
rnacentral:lncRNA from 1 species